rnacentral:rRNA from 1 species
UACGUAGGGUCCGAGCGUUGUCCGGAAUUAUUGGGCGUAAAGAGCUCGUAGGCGGUCUGUUACGUCCGCUGUGAAAACCCAGGGCUUAACCCUGGGCUUGCAGUGGAUACGGGUAGACUAGAGGCAGGUAGGGGAGAAUGGAAUUCCCGGUGUAGCGGUGAAAUGCGCAGAUAUCAAGAGGAACACCUGCGGCGAAGGCGGGUUGCUGGGCCGACACUGACGCUGAGGCGCGAAAGCCAGGGGAGCGAACGGG